rnacentral:rRNA from 1 species
UACAGAGGUCUCAAGCGUUGUUCGGAUUCAUUGGGCGUAAAGGGUGCGUAGGUGGCGCGCUAAGUCAGGUGUGAAAUUUCGGAGCUUAACUCCGAAACUGCAUUUGAUACUGGCGUGCUUGAGGACUGGAGAGGAGACUGGAAUUCAUGGUGUAGCAGUGAAAUGCGUAGAGAUCCGGAGGAAGACCGGUGGCGAAGGCGGCCUGCUGGGCAGUUUCUGACACUGAGGCGCGACAGCGUGGGGAGCGAACAGG